rnacentral:tRNA from 1 species
GCCGGAGUGGCGGAACUGGCAGACGCGCCGGACUCAAAAUCCGGUGGGCCCAAAGCCUGUGAGGGUUCGACUCCCUCCUCCGGCA